AUCGCUUCUCGGCCUUUUGGCUAAGAUCAAGUGUAGUAUCUAGACAUAAAAGGACAAUACAAGAAAACUACCAUUC
rnacentral:snRNA from 1 species